UACGAAGGGGGCUAGCGUUGCUCGGAAUCACUGGGCGUAAAGGGCGCGUAGGCGGCGUUUUAAGUCGGGGGUGAAAGCCUGUGGCUCAACCACAGAAUUGCCUUCGAUACUGUAGAGCUUGAGACCGGAAGAGGUAAGUGGAACUGCGAGUGUAGAGGUGAAAUUCGUAGAUAUUCGCAAGAACACCAGUGGCGAAGGCGGCUUACUGGUCCGGUUCUGACGCUGAGGCGCGAAAGCGUGGGGAGGCAAACAGG
rnacentral:rRNA from 1 species